UUCCUUAAAUUGUCUUUUUUUCCCAGCGUGAAGUGUAUCCAUUUAUAACUGCCUAUUGCCUUGCCUGUUCUAUUAGCAUCCAAAAAUGUGGAAGACCUCCUGACCACCAUUUCUGCUGUGUCCGUAGGAUGUGCAGUAACAAUAUAGACCUAACAGUUUAUGUUAUAGAAUGGCUUUAUUUACUUUGGUGACUGUUUAUAGUUUUUAAAUAAAAGACUGAACAUUUCCUGGUGUCUUUCAUUUUAUAGUAUAUUGAUGAAGACAGCUGAAGCAAUUCAAAGAAAUUUAAAUAGCAGAUUGUACACUGGAAUGGUAGAGCAGAAUUUGUUAAUAUAAAUAUUUUUCACUGGCUAUAAAAGAGAAUGCUAAACCACUGUAUCAAUAAAUCAAAUGGAGUGCACUUUUUUCCUAUUAAAAUUACUUUUCCUGAAAAGGGGACCUUGUCAGGCUUAAUAGUGUGCUGUGGUAUGUUUAUUACAGAGAUUUCCAAUGACAGCUAUAAGAUUUGAUGGAAAAAAUAGUUUAUUACAUUAUUAGAUUAAAACCCUUGAUUUCUAAAAAAUGAUUGGGUUGUCUAACAAGAGCUUUUUGCAUUAAUUACAGUAAAUAACCUAAUUCCAGUCAUGCUAAAAUAGAUGAGACUUAAUUAGUGGAGAAGAUGGUAAUUAUUCAACAGAAUAUAAUCUUUGUCUUCCUGAAAUUGCAGCCUAUUAUUCAAUACUUGUAUAUAGUAUGUUUGCUGUGUUUUGGAGAUGAUAAAGAAAUGGUCCCUUCCCUAGGUGUUAUCACUCAAGGGAUCUUAUAUUGGAAACAUACGAGGCAAUGUUGAUACUUGGCAGCAGCAACAUCAAUAGGAGUUUUUUCCCGUCAACUCCAAGAGCCAGGAUUUCACUUUCUGUGACUUUCAAGUGACUUCUCCCAUUAGUACCAGGCCUGACAGGUUAACUGUAGUAAGUCUUGUGAUCUUUUAUUGUUAGAUAAAAGAUCACAAGAUGCAAGGAGAGAUUACAUCAAACAAAGUGGAAAGUAGUUUACACAAACUCAGGGUAUAUGAUUACUAGUUUUUACAAGAUAGAAAUAUGUUAGUCCUUUAAACUAAAUCGAUUUAAUUAGGUUGGACAGAGUAAUGUAGGUCAGUGCUGGGUUAUGGAAGGCAAUGGGUUUUGAGGAAGAGCAGCAUACAUUAUGUAACUUUUUUUCUGCCCUUCCUGCCUCAGAGUGUUCCUGAAGUUACUGUGACAGUAGCUGAAAAUGUAUCAUUUAGAAAUCCUUAGUUUAUUUUGAGCGUGCUCAGGUUAGACAAUGUGAUGGUAAAUCAGCUAACCUUGCCUACAUUGCUCCACAGCAAAUGUAUCUGGUGAAGGAUUUAGGGAUAUGAAGUUCACUAGUGUAAACAAGACCACUAACUUCAGUGUAAGCAAGGCCAGGUCUUAUGAUAUUUACAUUUUUUUGGUGUAAACAAUGAAAAUAGAUAACAGGGUUAAGGCCACAAGUACCAUUUACACUAAAGCUUCAGUGCUGCUCCUAUUAGUGGAGCCCACCUGUGGCUUAGGGUCUAUAGUUAACUGUUCUAGGCCCAGCCUUAGGUAGUUUUACCUAUUAAAUGUGAAGUUAAUAAACAGCAACCUGGGGAACCGUGUGGGUCUGCAACAUACAAGUUAAGUGAUGCAUUUAUGAAUUGUUCAACUAACAAAAACUAAUUUUAAAAAAUCAGUGGGAUUAAUUUGAGAGGAAAAAGUAAAAUAAUUAUAUUUAGCUUUACCUGAUUGCUAUAGAAUAGAAAUUACAGUAGAAUAUUUUGUUACCAUCUCUAUGUAAAUGCAAGGUGGAAUUUCUUCUGGUGGUCCAAGGAGAUGUAGCAUGGAAAAAUGAAGUGAAACAAGCAAUGGAAAAAUUUAGACUGUUGGACUGUAGAAAAAUCUUCCUCUGGAAGUGCUGGAAAUUCCAUUGUUUGUCAUUGUGAAUACUACAGGAAGCAUCCUGUAUUUUGAGGGCUAUCCAUACAGUUAACUAAAUCUGCCUUUUUCUGUUUGUCACUCUCUUAGUUUCUAUUAAAUGCCUUUUCCAGUGUCUGGAAAAAUUUUCAUUACAGUCAACUACUUCACAUUCUUCCCAUUUUCAAAAAGCAACCCCACUUCCUGCCAAGACAAAGGGACCAAGCACCAAGAAUCCUGUCAGCUGACAUCUUGAAAGCAGGAGAAUUACAGCUCAUAACACAGCAAUGCCCCUAGGUGUACUCUGCUGCCAGGCAUCAUCCUGAUCUGCACAUCUACACCAAGAGAAGACCUCAGGCAAAUGUUACGGUGUAGAGUGCAUCUCUGCUGAGGGCUGCAAAACCCUGUAUGUAACAGACCCUAUCAAGGCACAGCAGCGUUCUGCCUGAUCAUUUGUAUUCCUGCUGCUGAUAAAGGAGAUGGGACAGCUGCAGAAAACAAAAUUAGGGGAGAUAGGCCUUUGAUCCAUGUGAAGCCUCACAUGGAUAUUUAUACCACUGAAAGGAUCACUUCUCCUUGAAUCAGGAUCAUCUCCAGACAGGUCCAGCUUAACUUGGCUCUGCAAUAUUUCAGGUCCUGCGAAAAUGACUGGAAAGGACAAGAGAAUGCUUCCUCUGGAUUUUUCUUCCGUGAAUGUUUGUAUUUGUCUACGUACGCUUUCACCAGAUUUGCUACUUUUGUCGAGUUGACUUCUCCACUCUUGCUGUGACAAACCUGUGACAGGUUUAAAACAAACCA